rnacentral:rRNA from 1 species
UACGAAGGGGGCUAGCGUUGCUCGGAAUCACUGGGCGUAAAGCGCACGUAGGCGGCUCUUAAGUCAGGGGUGAAAUCCUGGAGCUCAACUCCAGAACUGCCUUUGAUACUGGCGAUCUCGAGUCCGGGAGAGGUGAGUGGAACUGCGAGUGUAGAGGUGAAAUUCGUAGAUAUUCGCAAGAACACCAGUGGCGAAGGCGGCUCACUGGCCCGGUACUGACGCUGAGGUGCGAAAGCGUGGGGAGCAAACAGGG